rnacentral:ncRNA from 1 species
CCCUAGUACGAGAGGACCGGGGUGGACGGACCACUGGUGUAUCAGCUGUCGACCAACGGCAUAGCUGAGUAGCCAAGUCUGGACGGGAUAAACGCUGAAGGCAUCUAAGCGUGAAGCCCCCCUCAAGAUGAGAUAUCCCCUCCUUCAAGGAGAUAAGAUCCCUUAAAGACGAUAAGGUAGAUAGGUUCAAGGUGUAAGUGCGGUAACGCAUUCAGCUGAUGAAUACUAAUAGAUCGAAGGUUUAUUCUA